UUGCUAGGAGAAGCAUUAAUGUCUAAGA
rnacentral:piRNA from 1 species